rnacentral:rRNA from 1 species
GAUGAACGCUGGCGGCGUGCCUAAUACAUGCAAGUCGAGCGAACAGACGAGGAGCUUGCUCCUCUGACGUUAGCGGCGGACGGGUGAGUAACACGUGGAUAACCUACCUAUAAGACUGGGAUAACUUCGGGAAACCGGAGCUAAUACCGGAUAAUAUAUUGAACCGCAUGGUUCAAUAGUGAAAGACGGUUUUGCUGUCACUUAUAGAUGGAUCCGCGCCGCAUUAGCUAGUUGGUAAGGUAACGGCCUACCAAGGCAACGAUGCGUAGCCGAACUGAGAGGGUGAUCGGCCACAUUGGAACUGAGCCACGGACCAGACGACUACGGGACGCAGCAGUAGGGUAUCGGCCGCAAUGGGCGAAAGCCUGACGGAGCAACGGCACGUGAGUGACGACGGUCUUCGGAGCGUAAAACUCUGUUAUUAGUGAAGAACAAAUGUGUAAGUAACUAUGCACGGCUUGACGGUACCUAAUCAGAAAGCCACGGCUAACUACGUG